GGCGACAAAAGCUGUAUUUUUCCAAUAUCCACGAGCGCCCCUUUAAUAACCCCCCCCCUCUCCGCGCGGCCGGCUCCCCGAUGGUCCCCAUGGCAACGCAGAUAACGAAGCAGCCAUUUUCCAUAUCUCUAUGAAAGUCUAUUAUAUUGCGGGAUUAGCUCAUCUCCUCGAGACCUCAAUUUCUGCUUUCUAUCCUUCUGAAGAUAUGUGACUAGAGCACAUCUACAGUCUUGUCCCUGAGGCUCCUUCUCUCCAUUGAUUUGAGUACCAAGGUCCAUCACUUUCUGGAGGGAAAUGCCAUCACCACCUUCUCCUCUGCUUUGGCUUGUCCAGCUAAUUGACAUCUACCUGGGAGUGAUGGGACUCUUUGUACUUUUCCCUUUGCUGCUGGAACUUAUCCCCUCAGAACAGUCAAUGGGAUGCUUUUCCAACUCUUUCUUGAACUAUAGGGUGGUACUCUUGAUAUCGCCUUCCUCAAAAUGGCCAGUGGACUUCAUCAUAUGACAUGAUUUGAAGGGCUUAUCCUCAGCUUGAAAGAAUUUAUUGGAAGAACUGUCAAGUUGUUUGGGUUUGGGUUUUUUUUUUCACUCUCAGACUUCCUCAGGCCCUGGCACACCAAACUACACGUGGCAUAGAAGGCUGGGUUGCAAAACAUAUCCGGCAUGGCAGUUGGUAACAGUUGUGCAAUCUCCACCAACUUACGGAAACCACC
rnacentral:lncRNA from 1 species